CUCCCGGGCUCCACUAAAUAUUAGGUAGACAAACGUUGAGCAAAAUCUGACACGGUGUCGCAACAUAGAUUGUGUCUGGUGGUUUGACAUGGAAUAACCCAAUGGAGUAACGAGGAUAGAUUGAGAAGAAAAAUAGUGUAUUUUAGAGAUCUUCAGCUUAAUUUAAAUCGGAUUUAGGCUAGAGGCAAGGAGGCUAGCCUAGCCUACUUCGCAGUUGGUGAGGUAGGCUAAAAGGUCAGAAGUGGCGCUAAUAUCCCGCACAGAAAAGAAGCGGAAAACUCAGAGGCCUGUCAUGGACGCUACCAGACGAAUAGAUGAAGGAUGGACGAUUGCUGUUAGAAGAGGCCUACUAGGCUACACUAACCCUGUCAUCACUGGGAUUCGACAACCCCCCGUGGUCACUGGAGAUUCUGCGCCGGCUUUGCAGCGGACCACAGGAGCUUCCCGUCCUUUGUGAAGAUGAGAGAAAUUCAGCUUUCCGCUGUCAGCUUUCCACUGCCUCUCACUCAAGAGGCUUCACAGCUGAUGGAUCAGAGGAAUGACCCAAUGGUCCAGCAACACCUCCUCACUUAUCUCAUGACCAUACUCCUGAUAGGCCAAUUGAUCCUAAUGAUGCGUGCAAGGCUGAAAAAUGCUCAAGGUGCUAGAAGAUCUGUUUGGUGAUACUUUCUGCAAUCAGAGAAUCAAAACAUCCAGAGAGCAAGCCCAUGAUGAAAUAAUAAUGAAGAGGAGAAUACUGAGGAUCUGAUCUUAUCAACAACCAAGUGCAGGAUGGAAUCCAGGCAGGAGAUACUAGUCUGGGACAUGAUAAUUCACUAAUGUUGCCCUCGGACAGAAGAAAUCAGGU